AUGAACUGUAAAAUAAUAGAAAUUGUUGCAUGUUGCGUUUAUAUUUUUGUUGAGUAUAGUUAGAUAAAAAGUUAACCAAAUAGUUACCCGGACUAUCUGCAUUGCACUAACCUUUUUGACUCAUCACCAUAUAAGGUUGCUGAGGGGAGAAUGGAUCAUAAUAAUGGCUGGAAUAGCGCCAAUGGAAUUGAGUCAAACACCUGGAAACCAUGUGUUUGAUGUAUUUGUUACCAUUCCACUAAUUCCACUCCAGUCAUUACCAUGAGCCCGUUCUCCCUAAUUAACCUCCUGUGCUCAUAACAUACGCUGCUGCUACUGCUUAUUAUCUGUCACUUUAUUCCUAGUUAUAUGUACAUAUCUACCUCAAUUAACUCGUACCCCUGCAUACGACUCGCUACUGUUACCCCGUGCAUGUAGCCAAGUUAUCGUUGCUCAUUGUGUACUUUUAUUACUUUUAUUUAAUUUUCUAUUUUAUUUCUCUCUGCCUUGGUAGAGAAGGGCUCAUGAGUAAGCAUUUCACUUUUAGCUACACAUGUUGUUUACUAAGCAUGUGACGGAUAACAUUUGAUUUGAAUAAUUAUUUGAAACAACAACAUUUGUGGGUGUUUUAUUUUUUUCAAUGCAUGGUUAUAGCUGCUGGGAAUGCUUUAUUUGGAUAGUCCCUACAGAUAGUCUAUGGAUGUUCAACUAACUAUCCACUAACCUUAGCCCUGGCCAUAGCCCCAGUCCUAACUCUAAAGCUAACCUUAUAGCCCUAAUCCUAACUCUAAAGCGAACCCUAUAGCCCUAGUCCUAACCCUAAAGCUAACCCUAUAGCCCUAGUCCCAACCCUAAAGCUAACCCUAUCCCGGCUGUAGCUACAGCUACAAAGGUAGACAGGUCUUUUCAGAGACAGGUCUUAUAGUUCAUCAUCAAAGCCUGCAGCUUUGUCUGAGUGUCAGAGCUACUAGCCAAUAAUAUCAGGUCAUCUCUGGCUCCAGACUUGUAGUUCCUGUCACCUCACACUGUGGUUGAUGCAUGUCAUCUUUUUAAUGUCAGUUAGACCUUGGAGAACAAACUGCAAGAAAGGGGCAUAGCUGACACCUAUAAAGGAAUUUUUUCACACGUUUGAGUCUGAUACAGCAACAUACUGCGGUUGAAGCCUAUUCAUGAUGGACUUUGGAGAAAAAGACAAGAUGACCAGUAUACACAUUAGAAGGACAAUGAUGAAACUGUCUGUUAUAUGAAGAAAAUCUAUCUGUUAUUCUGAACAGCUUUGUCUCUUUCUGUUGUUGUCACUCAGUCUGAUGUUUGGAGCACCUUCACUCUUGAAGACACAGUUGAUUUGGAAUGCUUCAUCACUGUGUAUGACGAUGGCAGGACAAGCCCCAGAUGUUAUCUCUGUAUUCUCACUGCAAUUUUCUUUGGAGAAUUUGACAAAAAGCUUUGAUUUGCUACAAGGAAGAGUGGCACCAGAUUUGGGUUGACCAUCUCAGAUUCCAUGGCAUCCAACAUGGGGAUGUAUUACUGUGCUGCAAUUGAUUAUGAAAGCAUGAUCUUCGGGAGUUGUGUUUUUCUGAAACAUCAGGGUAUGCAUUCAGGUGUUUUAUCUUCUCUUUUAGCAAAUAUAUGUUGUAUUUGGAAAUUGUGCAAGUCAUUGAUAGUAAAGUGAUUUUAUAGUCCUUGAAAAGAUACAGAUUCCAGGACCCAGCAUGUUGUACAUAAGUCUGUGUCUGAGUCAGUCCAGCCAGAAGACUCUGAACUGUAAAAUACACCCUGAGACCUGUGCAGGAGAACACAGUGUCUAUUGGUUCAGACAUGUUUCAGGAGAAUCCCAUCCAGGAAUCAUUUACACCCAUGGAGACAGGAGUGAUCAGUGUGAGAAGAGCCCUGAGGCUGGGUCUCCUACUUAGAGUUGUGUCUACAACCUCCCCAAGAGGAACCUCAGCCUCUCUGAUGCUGGGACUUACUACUGUGCUGGGGCCUCAUGUGGGGAAAUACUGUUUGGGAACGGGACCAAGCUGGAUGUUGAAGAUGGUGACAUUGAUCCAUAGAUGACAAUCCUGGUCCUUCUCUCCAACAAAAGAACUGGAGUUCUCCUCUGCUGUCCUACCAUCUUCAUCAUCAUCUACACCACCAGGAAAUAGAUAAAGCUAUGGCCAAUAUCAAUAGACUGUAUGUAGUUUGUUAAUUGCUUUCGCCAAAUCUCUGUGUAUGCACUUAUUGUCUAAGCAUGAAUAAAUAGC